rnacentral:rRNA from 1 species
GCCCUUUUCCGGUUGAUCCUGCCGGACCCCACUGCUAUCGGGAUAGGACUAAGACAUGCUAGUCGUGUGCCUCAGCCAAAACGAGGCACGGCGCACAGCUCAGUAACACGUGGCUAACCUGCCCUUAGGACGAGAAUAACCCCGGGAAACUGGGGCUAAUGCUCGAUAGGUGAAGAACUCUGGAAUGAGUCUUCACUUAAAAGAGUCUGCGUUAUGCUCGUAGAUUUCGCUUAAGGAUGGGGCCGCGACCGAUCAGGUUGUUGGUGAGGUAAUGGCUCACCAGGCCUUUUACCGGUGCGGGCCGUGAGAGCGGGAGCCCGGAGAUGGGCACUGAGACAAGGGCCCAGGCCCUACGGGGCGCAGCAGUCGCGAAAACUUUGCAAUACACGAAAGUGUGACAGGGCUAUCCCGAGUGCCAUCCGCUGAGGAAGGCUUUUACCCAGUCUAGAACGCUGGGGGAAUAAGGAGAGGGCAAGUCUGGUGUCAGCCGCCGCGGUAAUACCAGCUCUCCGAGUGGUGUGGAUGUUUAUUGGGCCUAAAGCAUCCGUAGCUGGCUACGUUAGUCCCCUGUUAGAUCCAACGAAUUAAUCGUUGGAUCGCGGGGGAUACUGCUUGGCUAGGGGACGAGAGAGGCAGACGGUAUUUCCGGGGUAGGGGUGAAAUCCUAUAAUCCCGGGGAAGACCACCAGUGGCGAAGGCUGUCUGCUAGAACGCGCCCGAC